CAGAUGAUCUUGCACUCAAACACGAGAUGAUCUUACACCCAAUCCAAAUCUGGGAGUGUUCGGCCCACCAAAGUGGCUGACCCAAACAUGACAAGGGCGAGCCGCCUCAGGAUUGAGCCCAUUAAUGUGCGAGCUGCCUAAGGCUGUGAUCGCAUAGGAGGACAGCGGCGAGUUGCUACCGACGCGGCGGCCAUGGUUGGGGAGGGAGUUCGGCUUGCAGUGCCCCUCAGGCUUUACCAUGUCGCCAUGUUCCCCGAGUUCGAUCUGUUCGGGCUCUAAGGGGUGGUGAUUAAGCAGUACUUCGGGGCUCGGAAGGGUAAGGAGAUCACUGCCGAUGGCCACCCUCGCCCGAUCAAAUUCUUGGCGCAUUUGAAGGAGGAUGAGUUUGGGCUCUUAGAGAUGUCAUGGAAAGAACCGAGAGAAGGCAAAGGAGAGACGUAAAGGAUGUCUUCCAAGUAACAUGAUUCCACACCAUUGUUGGUUGAAGAGAUCAUGAUAUAUGAUCACUUUAAGUAUUCUACAUACUCCACAGCGAAGCUUUGUGAUGGCCUAAUUGUUGCUGCUGGAACCAGAAUCUGCUUCAACCACAUAGCCUCUGAGGGAAGGUGUCCUGUUAGUGAGGUCUGCUGAAGAAUGUUGCCACUCAAAACUUGUCUUCUGCUGCAUCCUUCUUCUAGCAAUGUAUCCUCUAA